UACGGGGGGGGGCAAGCGUUGUUCGGAAUUACUGGGCGUAAAGGGCUCGUAGGCGGCCAACUAAGUCAUACGUGAAAUCCCCAGGCUCAACCUGGGAACUGCGUCUGAUACUGGUUGGCUUGAAUCCGGGAGAGGGAUGCAGAAUUCCAGGUGUAGCGGUGAAAUGCGUAGAUAUCGGGAGGAACACCAGUGGCGAAGGCGACUACCUGGCCUGUUCUUGACGCUGAGGCGCGAAAGCUAGGGGAGCAAACGGG
rnacentral:rRNA from 1 species